rnacentral:rRNA from 1 species
UACGAGUGCCCCAAUGGUUGUCCGGAAUUACUGGGCGUAAAGAGUACGUAGGUGGUUUUUUAAGUUCGUGGUUAAAUCUUGAGGCUCAACCUCAAGGCUGCCACGAAUACUGAAAGACUUGAGUCAGGGAGAGGCAACUGGAAUUGCCGGUGUAGCGGUAAAAUGCGUUGAUAUCGGCAGGAACACCAAAGGCGAAAGCAUGUUGCUGGAACUGUACUGACACUGUUGUACGAAAGCGUGGGGAGCAAAAAGG